rnacentral:lncRNA from 1 species
AUUAUAUAACAACUAUUAAUAGUGUUGAGUUUAUUAUGACGAUGCUAAUGAUUGUUGUGGGGUUAGAGUCGAUUUAAUAUGUGAAUGCAUAGGACCAAUGUAAAGUACGUCUAGAUGAAGACAAAACAUUAAGGUUUACGUCUAUUUCAGUUGUGUUUGUCACGAGGCUUUUUAGUUUUGUACUAUUGUUACACGUACAAUGUUUGGAUCUUUUUCAUUUUCUUGAUUUUUUUCAUAAUUUUAUUCUAUAUAUUAAAAGUGUUUACUCUUUUGUUUGUUAACAGAAAAAGCUAGAUGUCACUAAAUUUGUGAAGAUUUUUAAAAAUGAAACGAGCUAAAAAGUUAAAACCAACCAAAAAGGUAAUAAAUUAAAUAAAAAAGUAAAAUAAAAGAAAUACAAAUUUUUUUACAAUACAAAUAAAAUGUAACUAUACUAGUUUUGAUGAUAAAGUGUAAUUAUAUUAUCACUUACUUGAGAAGUAAAUAGGUACCAUUUAAUUUGUUGAAUUACAGAAUCAUGUACCUUGUAUAUUGGGCCAUAUUUUUUUCCAGCUCUAUUACAUAUAAAACAAAUAAAAUAGAAAUCGAAUAAAAUUACACAAACAUGGGAAAUCACUUGAACAAAUUUUAUAUAUUCUUUACAAAAACAUAAAUAAAACAAAAUUUUUAUGAAAAUAUAUAUACGUAGCCAUGAGUUUGUGGAGAAAAUUAUAGGCACGAGUUAUAAAUGUUGUUUCUCAUAAAACGCACGAGGUUUAAUGUUAGUGGCUAAGAAAAUUCCAACACGUGCAAAAAAAAAACCUCGUAGCUACGUCUAAGAACAAAACUUCUAUCAAAGCUUAUCACAUAGGUAAUAAACACUUUUUUUUUUUUGCUUUAGUCACCAAAUGUUUUGCUUUAUUGUCUUUUCAAUGAUCUACGUGGCAUAUAUCUAGCUUCAAGAGUAUGUAUAUAAACGAUCUUUAAACAAAAAAGAGUGUAAUAAGAGAUUCGAAGUUGAAGAUUUUGCCUUUGUUCGUCUUUGUUCUCUCGUUACACAUAGUGUUAUUAUGUAUGUAUUUAUAUAUAUAUAUACAUCACGUAAAAUUAACAAAAACUAACCUGUUUCCCCACUUAGCAUGAAGUUCCAUGAUGAUAAGUUGCUCCUCCGGCGUGAUGUUUCCCCGUCGUACGUCAGGGCGGAGAUAGUUCAGCCACCGGAGCCGGCAACUUUUUCCGGUGCGUUUUAGACCUAUACAUUCAUAUUAUUAAAAAUCAGUAUGUGUCGUACGUACAUACAUAGAUGAUAGAUCCAUAUAAUAAUAACUAGAACAUAUGUACGCAUAACAUUACCAUAGAUCUAUUUUAAGUAUCUUACAUAAUAUAAUCGAGCAUAUAGUUAUGAAAAUAUGAUUUCUAUGUGUGUAUAUCUACAUAUAAAAGAAUCGAACGUACGAAAAGUUAUAUAUUUUUUUUUGUCGUAUAAAAUAUAACUUUUCAUGUUAUGAAGAAACCCUAGUUUGUAUAAGUGAUUAAUUUGUAACUAAAUAUGAUUAAAGAAAAUAAGAAUAAUUAAACGAAGUAAGUACCUGCAGAUUUGGCGAGAGAGUUCCAAACACCAUCGCCGUGGUUAGCGAUAUAGUUGAUGAGAAUAAGAUCUUCUUCCAUCGUCCAUGGUCCUUUCCUCACUUCUGCUUCUACUGAUGAUCCUGAGCCUCCACUACUACCUCCUCUUUUCUCCAUUUUAUUAUUCUUUAUUUAGUUUAAGAUUAUAUAAUACACAAGAUCUAUAAGUUUUUAUAUUUUUGUAUAUAGAUAUUAGAUAGAGAGAGAGGAAUAUAAAAUAAAGGAGUGAGAGAGUAAACUAAGAGAGAAGGUUGUGGUGAGUUGAUAUUGAAAGUUGUGGAAGGUGAGCUACUGCUUUUAUAGAGACGAAAAUUCACCGCGUGAUU